CGCGUGUCCCUCCUCUUCUAACUUUUCUGGCUGAGAGUUGCGACUGCUUGGUUACUGCUCGGUAUGUCUUCCCACGUUACCGAAAUGGACCGUGUGGCGCGCCGUCAAAACACUCCUGGUUGACCCAGUGUUGUAUUUUGCGAUGGGUUGACUCGUUUUCGAGAUUCUCUUGGGAGUUGGAUGGAGUUUGACUCUGCACCCUGACGUGACGUCAGGAGCUCGGAUCCGGCGAGGUCACGUGCCACCGCUGCAGGUGCUGUCGGUGUCCUCCAGGGGAACCUUCUGUCCUCCAGACUGGGAGGGAGAUGGCAUGAACGAACAGCAUUUUGAAGAAUAUUUUUUGGAUAUUUUAUCAGUUUGAUACGUUUCUCUACAAUAAAAACUAUUCCCCUUAUUUUCGCCAUCAUAAGCAGUAUUUAAAAGAUUUCUCAAGUUAUUUUUGGACACUUCAGGUUUUAAUUUGUGUGCGUUGUCUGGAGUUCACUUGAAAUGUUUUGAGUCGCCGAACAAUAUUGUGCUCUAACCAAAACCGCCAGUAGAUGGCGACAUAAAGACGUGACUCAAAAUGAGUCUGCGGAUGACGUAGGUUGCUGCAGGUGCCAGACAAACUCUUUGAUGGAAAUGAGUUGCUCGGGUAGGUCAUGUCAACUGUAAAAGUCUUUCAUACUCUCGAGGCUGGAAUCCCACUCAAUUCGUGGUACUUGCCUUUAUAACCAAGAAAAGUUAUCUAGCUUGUGUAUAUUAUCGUUUCUUUUUGGAGAUAAGCUUUGAGUAAAACUACCGAUAAAUGUGUAAAUUUGUGUAAAAGCAUUUGUACUGCACUGUUUUGUGUUAAUUUAGUUAAAGUCUACCAGCUGCUUCUCAAGUGUGUAGCAUUUUAAAAGAUGUACUAAGUCUAAUGAAGAUGCAAUGUUAAGCUGCCUGCUCCUAAUGGUACAUUUUCUGGUGUUUUAAAAUUAAGUGUUGGACAGGAAAAAGUAGCCAAUGGAGUGCGAGGUGAUGAUGGAAGCGGCUGUGGGUCAGAAGAUGAGUUGUUCAAGGUGCCGUCGCAGUGGAAACUGCGACCAUGUCGAUGAAUGUUAUCAAUGAAAAUGAGUGAGCCAAGCACAGAGUCUUGUGGGACUCCAGGCAGGAAGAUAUAAAAGCAGGAUAAAACAAAAUCUAAAAUAAAAA